rnacentral:lncRNA from 1 species
UUCUCAAAAGUGGGUUCCAUAUAACAUAAUUCUUCUUUUCCAGCCAACGGUGGUGGAUCUUUGAGAAGUGAAUUCCAUCUAGGUUGAGUCCCUUUAGUCGGUGGAACCUCUUGUUUGUUUGGGUUAGCAUCUGUAGAUCCAAUGUUUCCUUGUUGCUCUGUAUUAGAGUCAGCCAUUACAUUACUAUGAGUUUCCUCAAUUACAGCUGUGGUUGUAGCUGUAAUGGUGAGUUGAAUUGUGUUUACUUGAGAGGGAAAAGAUGGAUGAGAAAUGGAAGGAUUGAGUGGUGUGAUGGAAGAACCAUGGCCAUCCAUGGCUUUCCCAGCACAAAGGCCGUCGGAGGGGGGUAGAAUUUAGGUCGGCAGUGUGGUAAAUGGGUGGAUCUGGCGAAAAGGAAGAGGAAGAAGUAGUACGGAAGGGUUAGUUUAGUUGAGGAAGAGGGAAGGAAAAAAAUGCCAGAGCAAAAGAGUCGUUACCCUCUGUUCUGCCUAGGAAAUUCAAGUGAACAUAUGUUCUGUUCAAUUCAAGUGUGGAUAGUUGAAAAUAUGAUCGAUCUUCUUCAUUACGAGGAACACUUUAACCCUGUUUUUUGUUCUGUUCAAUUAUGUUACCCGAGUGCUAGUGUUUUUU